GACAGCAAGCGAGCAAUCCCCGGCAGCCGCCGGCCUGGCUGGCGAUUCGGAAAAAGACGCUGCUGUUUCUGGCGGCGGAAGGCGAGGAGGGAGGCAAGACCUACCGUAACGGGACGGGCGUGCUCGCCAAAUGCCGCUCCUCUCAGUAAGCGCUUCGGACUAAGUAAACCUCAACCUCAUCAACACCAGCCCAGACUUCGAACUUCCCCCAUCUGUAAGAAACUGUUUAUUUCUUCUUUCUCAACCUGAUCCUUUCCAGAUAGCUCAGUCUUUAUGGCUGGGAAUUCUGGGAAUGAAAAUACCCAUCUAUCUGGAUGACAUCAAAUGAAGACAAUGCAGAAAGGCCGUUUGUUUUCCAGGGAAAGUAGGGAUCAGUUUCUCUCCUGGAUUACUCAGUGGUACGGUAAAUGUGAGUAGGUAGAGCACCAAUGCCCAGUCCUUGCUCCACAGAAUAUAAAAAGUUGAAAAAGAUGACCUUCUUUGGUUUACUGCAUCUCUAAGUAGCAUCGUAGGGAGAAUAUGGUUGAUUUAACUCAAUCCCCACCUUUGUGCUGUUCAAAGAAAAAUAAGGAAUCAGAUGAAAACAUUGCUGUUCCUCUGGUGAUCAAUCCUUAGAUCAUAUGCAGAAAUGCAAGGUGUAUUGGUUAAGUUGUUGCUGGGACUGACAUGAGAAACACCUGGCUUCAAGUCUACUCCUAACCAUAGAAGCUCAGCCCAAAUCUCACAAAGUUAUUAUGGCUAAAAAUGGGAGGAGAGAAUGCUGCAUCUGUCUCAUUGAGUUUCUGAAUGAAAGUACUCUGGAAAGUGUGGUGAUAAUCAAAAAGGAGCAACACUUGAAAAUGAAAGAUCCAUUCACCUGCGAUACAAACAAGAGGGGUUUUGUUUUCAGUUCUUCACAAAUUUAGACUGAACUUCCACUGGCUUGACCAUUCCAUCCAGGUUUAAUUUACAACUAUUCUUGAUUCUGCUUCAGUUAUCUGAAGACAAAUUGCAAAUCUUAAUGUUUUGCAUUUGCUAUGCUCAAAAUUUAUUACAACACAGUUUAUUUCCAACUUCUCCAGAUAUGUUCAGUAUCCUUCAAAUUAAAAUAUUCCUGUUUUCCAGAAGACCAUAAAUUACUCACUAUUUGCUUGAUUGUUUUAAGUUUAUCUUGUGACAUGUUAAAAUUACUACUACAAAUCUUGUAUAAUUAUGUUGAUCAUUUACCACAUGCCUUUGUAAGGCCACACUUGGAAUACUGCAUGCAGUUUUGGUCGCCACGAUGUAAAACAGAUGUUGAAACUCUAAGAAGUGUCCAGAGAAGAGUAACAAGGAUGAUUAGGGGACUGAAAGCUAAAAUAUAUAAAGAAUGGAUGCUGGAAUUGGGUAU